GCUGGGCUUAAACCACACACGUGGUGACGCAGGCCUGUAGUCCCAACUACUCAGGAGGCUGAGCCCGCUGGAUCGCUUGAGCCCAGGAGUUCUGGGCAGCAGUGUGCUAUGCUGAGCAGGCAUCUGCACUAAGGAAGGCAUAUAUAUGGUGAGCCCCAGGGAGCUGGGAUACACCAAGUUGACUAAGGAGGGGAGAAACGGCCCAGGUCGGAGAUGGAGCAGGACAGAGCUCCCAGGCUGAUCAGUAAGGGGAUCGCACCUGUGAAUAGCCACUGCAGCACAGCCUGGACAACACUGAGAGACACAAGUUCCU
rnacentral:SRP_RNA from 1 species